UACCUGUCGGUGGGAAAAGAGCAGCCUGGUUCACAUGUAGUUCUCGACAUCAAUUAUUAGGCUUUCAGCGCGAAAUAACGACACAAACACGGGCUGCAUGUACUGUACAGUUCACCACUCCGGUGAAGGUGCUAUACAGUUACGCCGUGUGUGCGGCUCGUUCCUCGGCAUGGUACAUGUACGUGCACCCUGUUCAAGAGGCUGGGCCUCCGCUGCACUCACGACGUGACGACUGAAUGACCGGAGGAGCGCCGGUCGAAAACAAAACGCAGUGUGCUGGGGUGGACGGCUGAGGCGGUUAAUGAUUACAUGGCAGUGGCGGGAAACGGGGGCAGCCGAAGCCGGUUUGUGUGUACACACAUCCAGUCUGCGCGACGCUGAGUAAUGAACUUGCCAUUCAGAGCAAAUCACAUGUGGUUUAAGCAGGCAACAAAAGGGGGGCUUUCAGCGAGAAAUAAAUGGCCGCAUUUAAUAUGUCAUGUGUUAUUAUAGUUUUUUUCCCCACUCAUUCGUAUGAAAUGGACGCGUCCAUUCAGCGCUGAGGGUAGAGCUUUUUACAGGGGUGGGUGGCGUCUCUCUCCCUGCUUGAUAAGCUCAUUUUGAUGAACGGCUUGCUUGCUCGUUAACGAGGUAAACAUGUUUAUGGUGCGGGGAAAUACAUUCAGUGAAAUGUUGGAAUGGAUAUUAAUUAAUGGCUACAAGGAUUCGUUAAGCCCCAUUGAAAACAGACACAGCACAGGGUUUGGGGGUUUGUUGAAUGGCACGACCAACAAUAAUUAAUGAGUCUAGAUGCCGUCACACCAAGCCUUCACCACUCAAAAUAAUCAAUUACACUACGUCUCUCCUCAGUAAUCACUCUCCUCUUUUUUUGCUUCUGCCAUUUACGAACCCAAUUAUUCGUUCGAUUCUAAUAUCUUCGACCAUUUAAUGCCGGAUGGGGGAACAGCUGCGCGCAACGGCAUUCUUCCAUCAAUAAGGAAAUGAAGGUACGUGAUGGCUGUGACGAGUUUGGUCGUGCUGGACUGGCUGAGCACUAAUGCAAUUUCGCUGCUUUAGAUUGAAAGCUCCUCUUGCCAUAAUGCCUCCUCUUGAUAAAGUGAAGGCCCAAAACAAGCAGGAGAUUGCACCGAGGCUUCCGGCAUUUCAUCCGUUCAUUUCCACCCUCAAUAUCAAUCACGCAAAGUGGAUCUGCUUCCCCCUACUAGCCUCUCCCAACACGUGACGUCACUUUGAUUUAGCUUAUUAUUAUUAUAGUGUAUCCAGCCACGAGUUGAUGGUUCUCGUUUAACCUUCAUGAUGAUAAAUCCCUCAACAAAUCAUUACCCUGAUCACAUAAGGACAUACGAAUUUAGAUGUAUCUAUUUGGCCACAUUAUGAGCAGGUCUGACUAUUUAAUGAAAAUCAUGAGUUGUAGGUGAACUUACUUCAUGAAACUAACUGAAAAAAACUGAUGUGAAAUAACAUUUCUAGGGAGUGGUUCAAAUGGUUACAAUGCAGAAAACUUCACCUCAUUCACAUUGAUAUUGCACGGUGCCUAGAGGGCAACGUUGUGUUAUCAUGUCUGACAAAAAUUACGGAGUGUUUUUUGGGUGCAUUCUCCAUAUAUAACCAGCAAUUAAGACUCCUUGUUUUCGUCAAGAAGCGUGUCCAAGACCUCGAGGAAGAAAUCAGCAAAGCGGUUGCGGGACCGGGCAGUUCAUGAAGGGCUGUAUAGGGCGCAGCCUCGCUGUGGAGGAGCAGCGAAGUUACACAAACCACGCCAAGACGUGGCGGGGCGACAGGGCAUCAGACUGGUCGCAAAGGGAACUAACUUAGAUCACCUGUUCUUACAUCUCCAAAUACCAACAAGGGUUGAUAGCCAUAUUGAAAGGUGAUUGGCGAGAAGUGAAGUUGAGGCCUUCCCAUCAGGGAUGGCAGGGCUGGGGAUCGUGCAAGACGUUUGCGAGACAAGGACCGGUGAGGGAAGGGCAGAACCAGGCGGAGCGAGGCAGAGCAAGACCGAACAGUGCCAAACAAGACGGAGCAUGGUAAAACAAGGCAAACCACGGAAGGCGAGAUUCGGACCUUUUUGCGUCAUCUUCUCUCCACAAGUAAUAACGAAACUUCUUCCCUGACAAAGGAAGACUAUGCGAGCCGAUGUAAGGCAUCCUCAGCACGGCGCAAGGGAGGGUACCAUGGAGCCUGUGGAGAGACCCUCGGUCUUAACAUCUCAUCCCAUCAAGACAAUCCGCUCCGUCAGCAUUGGCUGAUUGCCUCAACCAGCUCACUCCCAGGUCUCCGUCCACAUUAAAAAUUUGCUGGAAAUUGACGAGUAUUUGUCAGCGUGGCGUACAAGUGGAAAGCGAUAAUUGGAGAGCAAGAGAUCUUGAUGACAUGUUAAUGCACUUAGGCGGACAGCGUAUCGCCACUGGGCGCUGUCCCCCUAUUUCAGACGAGUGACAGGCAUUCUCGACAUUCAAUAGUUUUCAGGAACACCACCAGCGCCAGCCUACGCAAUCGCUCCCUACACAGAACAAAGACUUUCAGUAGAUCUAAUUUUUAAAUGAGGGGAAUUUCAAGAUAUCCUUUACAGAAUUGCAGGAUUAUAGAUUCUAAUCAUUCAAUGGUGAGUGUGACGUGGUACCAGAAAAACACGUGACAGCGUUAUCAGAUGAAAGUAAAGUGAAAGGGGCGUUGCCUUUAAAGUUUCUGUCAGGAUAUGGCAAUCACGCCAAAUAGGUUUGUACUGAUAGUGACUCAGGACAGAAUAACGAUGAAAAGGCUGACAGAUAGUACCGUACGACUCUGGUGGUUUUUCUUUUACAUGCAAAAAUACUGUGCUUAAUGUCAAAUCGGAUUUGAUUUCAUCUGGGAGUCACUGGGCUUCAUAUUUAACUACUUUACAAACUUUCUUUUUCCGGGUAGAAUUAUAAAGGGAAGUGCACAUCCUGAACAUGAUUACCCUCAACUUCUCAAGAACCUGCUCUUUGUGGAAUUACGGGCAGUUUCUUCUUUGUUUUCAUCUUGCAAUGAUUGGUAAACUUCAACAAAAGUAGUAUGGAGGUAAACUGUAGUUUUUCGAUCAGAUCAUUAAUUUCAAUGACACGCUAAAAUACUGAAAACUGUCCAAUUGAUAAACAAUCCCGUUAUGAAUGUGUUCAAGGUUUCCUAAUCCUGUAAUAAGUUGCCAUAAUUCUCAUUGAGGGAUCUAUUUGAUCAGUUGGAUUGUUAUCCCUUAUUCCCCGAUGGACACAUUUUUGUCUCUAGUUUCUCCAAAGAAGGACUCUCCCCCUUUUACCAAAAAAGAUAUAAGAAGGCAUUGCACUCAGUAACGUCUAUAAACCACACCAUUCCAGCAGACUGCAUAAGCUAGGAUUUCGCAUGGUAAGACAGGGCAGUAACUGGAAUAUUCUCCAUAUGAAACAGUCAAUAAAGGAGAU